AUUGAACGCUGGCGGAAUGCUUUACACAUGCAAGUCGAACGGCAGCACGGGUGCUUGCACCUGGUGGCGAGUGGCGAACGGGUGAGUAAUGCACCGGAACGUAUCCAAUAAUGGGGGAUAACGCACCGAAAGGUGUGCUAAUACCGCAUACGCCCUGAGGGGGAAAGCGGGGGAUCGUAAGACCUCGCGUUAAUGGAGCGGCCGAUGCCGGAUUAGCUAGUUGGUGAGGUAAAGGCUCACCAAGGCGACGAUCCGUAGCUGGUCUGAGAGGACGACCAGCCACACUGGAACUGAGACACGGUCCAGACUCCUACGGGAGGCAGCAGUGGGGAAUUUUGGACAAUGGGGGGAAACCCUGGUCCAGCAAUGCCGCGUGAGUGAAGAAGGCCUCGGUUGUAAAGACUCUUUCAGUUGUAGAAGAAAAGGACGUGUGACUAAUAAUACAUAACUAAU
rnacentral:rRNA from 1 species